rnacentral:rRNA from 1 species
AAUAGAAAGUAAUUAAGGGCGUAUGGCGGAUGCCUAGGCUCACGGAGGCGAUGAAGGACGUGAUAAGCUGCGAUAAGCCUCGGGUAGAUGCAAAUAAUCUUUGAUCCGAGGAUUUCCGAAUGGGACAACCUGACUGCCUGAAGGAUAGUCACCCAUAUUUAAUUAUGGGAGCAAACGCAGGGAACUGAAACAUCUUAGUACCUGUAGGAAAAGAAAAUAAUUUAAUGAUUCCCCUAGUAGUGGCGAGCGAACGGGGAACAGCCCAAACC